GCCGCCGAUUCAAAGCUGCCUGACAUGCAGGCGGGAUGGGAACAGAUGUGUUCGGCGGUCAUGACCGGUCUUUCGGGUCUGAACAUGGUCUAUGAGGCCG
rfam:Tropicibacter litoreus R37 strain CECT 7639 genome assembly, contig: 0001